rnacentral:rRNA from 1 species
AUUGAACGCUGGCGGCAGGCCUAACACAUGCAAGUCGAGCGGAUGACGGGAGCUUGCUCCUGGAUUCAGCGGCGGACGGGUGAGUAAUGCCUAGGAAUCUGCCUGGUAGUGGGGGACAACGUUUCGAAAGGAACGCUAAUACCGCAUACGUCCUACGGGAGAAAGCAGGGGACCUUCGGGCCUUGCGCUAUCAGAUGAGCCUAGGGCGGAUUAGCUUGUUGGUUAGGUAAUGGCUCAACAAGGCGACGAUCCGUAACGGGUCUGAGAGGAUGAUCAGUCACACUGGAACUGAGACACGGUCCAGACUCCUACGGGAGGCAGCAGUGGGGAAUAUUGGACAAUGGGCGAAAGCCUGAUCCAGCCAUGCCGCGUGUGUGAAGAAGGUCUUCGGAUUGUAAAGCACUUUAAGUUGGGAGGAAGGGUUGUAGAUUAAUACUCUGCAAUUUUGACGUUACCGACAGAAUAAGCACCGGCUAACUCUGUGCCAGCAGCCGCGGUAAAAC